AAUUGACUCUAGUAGGGAGUCCGUUACUUUAUAGCGACUCCCUAACGGAGUCAGGUUG
rnacentral:pre_miRNA from 1 species